UACGUAGGGUGCGAGCGUUGUCCGGAUUUAUUGGGCGUAAAGAGCUCGUAGGCGGUUUGUCGCGUCUGCUGUGAAAACGCGAGGCUCAACCUCGCGCCUGCAGUGGGUACGGGCAGACUAGAGUGCGGUAGGGGAGAUUGGAAUUCCUGGUGUAGCGGUGGAAUGCGCAGAUAUCAGGAGGAACACCGAUGGCGAAGGCAGAUCUCUGGGCCGUAACUGACGCUGAGGAGCGAAAGCGUGGGGAGCGAACAGG
rnacentral:rRNA from 1 species